rnacentral:lncRNA from 1 species
AGUACUGGAAUGCUUGAAGAGAUUGUGCAUUAGGAAUCUGUGAGGAGUCAGGUCCUGUAAACCAGCCAUCAUCAGCAACAUCACGUAAUGAAGUCCUAGAACUGCAGGCUUCUCUGCUUCAGUGCUCUUGGGAGAGGUGAAUGGAAAACACUUGAAAGAAACCUGCUGCAAGCAGUGAGGGCAUUUGUCAUAUAUGGAAUGAAAAGAUAAAAUGGAAGAAAUAAUCAGUUUGGUUUUCAGACUCAUUUCCAUUGUCACUAGAUGGCACAUUGGUCUAAAGUUUCAGAGCCAUCACUGUGGUGUUGAUCACAGUUACAGCAGCUGCAUGGACAAAUUAUAAACUAUAUAUGGGAAACAGCCAGGACAUCACUAUAAGUGCUGUGUCUGAACUGCCAUGCACAGAAAAAAGGAAAUAUUUCAGCACUGGUUCACCAGGAGGCCAGCUGGUUGUCAGCAUAAGAAAAAAGUCCUCCUAGGAAAUGCACUCUUCCCACCAAGGAUGGCAUGAAAAUGGCCAUAAUUGCUGGCAGGAUGAAGCUAUGUCAUUUGAACUUUAGAGGGAUACAAGCAUUUCAAACGUUUGAAUGCAGCCAUGGUGGCAAAAUGAAGGGAAGAGAAGGAAGAAGGCUACGUGCUUGACACUGAGUUCACACCAUUCUAGGUAAAAGCAAGAAGAGACACAGAUUUAUCCAUUUUUGAUUUGCAGGUUGAACCUUGCUGUUGAUCAAAGUGCAUUUACUUGUUUUUAGUAUUGUAAGCUUCUUUCCCUUGCCUUGUUACCAUGUUCAACUACUUAUUUUAAUUGCAAGGAAAAGAAAGCCACUGAUCUGCAUAAAGGUUAUAAGGAAAUGUGCACAAAUGUGCAAAAACUCAAGUGUUUACAUGAACCAGUUAAAUAGCUCCCCAUGUCCUUAAUGAGCAAGCACAGGAAUUCAAUUAACUGAUAUUUUAUUUGUUAAAUGAACUGACCUUUAUCCAAUGCAAUCUAUAAAAUUAAUUUGGCACUCUGUAAUCCUUGCAGAUUGGCAAU